ACAGUACAUUUCUAAACUUCAGGGUCAAACAGUACAAAUUGCUCAGCUACCUCAAGGCCAAUAUGUUCAAAUCAUCCAUCCCAUGCAAGCUCAGAUCCAUCACGAAUCUGAAGGAAGUAGCGUGGAUAAAUCUCAACCCAGUCCCAAGCAUAGAUAGUUAAAAUUGUAUCAGACAUUAAUGGGACUGUAUAACUUGAAAUUACGCGUACAGUCCCUUUAAUUAGUUCCCUUUUAAUACGUUCUCUUCUAAACAAACAAGAUAAAGAUAAGAAUGUAAAAACGACUUCAAAUAGUUACAAGAAUUUUAAAACAACUAAGUUCUAGAGUUAUUGUUGCAAGUUUUAAACCAACGCUCGGACAUUGCUAAUCUGAUUGACAGUUGAAACUUUUGAUUUGAAAGCAAUUAAAUGUACGUAAUUUCAUCAUAAUUUCACCUUUUUUAAUUUGUGAAAACAGCUGACUAGCAUUUUAAAUGAGAUUUAGAAUAGAUAUUUUAAAUGAGAUUUAGAAUAGAUAUUUUAAAUGAGAUUUAGAAUAGAUAUUUUUUAUUCUUUUGAUUGGAAAAGCUAUUAGAUGUAUCUCAAAGGAUUUAACUUCUGUCAGAUGUGGAUUAGAGCUUACUGAAUGGAUUAACAAAAGACCUCUAAUAUUCAGUCGAUAUCAAUGUUUUCACGUUUUUCCCAAUCUUAGAUGUUUGUUUACAUGCCUGUCAACUGAAGGGUUGUUUACAUUUCUCCAAGUUGCUUUGUUUACUUGGUUUUGUUUAUUUUACUGCUACAAAUAUCUAAAACUUAUGCAAAUUGUAAUUUCAUGAAUUUAAAAUGACUACUUUCUCAAAGUAACUUAAUUAUGCAUGUUAUUAUUAUUUAUGUUAUUUAUUAGUUAUUUAUUGUAGCGAUAUUUUAAAGAUGAAAAUU